UACGUAGGGGGCAAGCGUUGUCCGGAAUCAUUGGGCGUAAAGCGCGCGUAGGCGGCCCGGUAAGUCCGUUGUGAAAGUCCAAGGCUCAACCUUGGGAUGCCGGUGGAUACUGUCGAGCUCGAGUCCGGAAGAGGAGUGUGGAAUUCCUGGUGUAGCGGUGAAAUGCGCAGAUAUCAGGAGGAACACCAAUGGCGAAGGCAGCACUCUGGGACGUGACUGACGCUGAGACGCGAAAGCGUGGGGAGCAAACAGG
rnacentral:rRNA from 1 species